CGGGUGAGUAACGCGUGGAUAACCUGCCCAGAGGUGGGGGAUAACCCGGGGAAACUCGGGCUAAUACCGCAUGAUACCGAGAGGUCAAAGGGGGCUCGCAAGGGCUCUCGCCAUUGGAGGGGUCCGCGUCCGAUUAGCUAGUUGGUGGGGUAAUGGCCCACCAAGGCGACGAUCGGUAGCCGGCCUGAGAGGGUGAUCGGCCACACUGGAACUGAGACACGGUCCAGACUCCUACGGGAGGCAGCAGUGGGGAAUUUUGCGCAAUGGGCUAACGCCUGACGCAGCAACGCCGCGUGGAGGAUGAAGGUCUUUGGAUUGUAAACUCCUGUCAGCAGGGAAAAAGCGAAUCGGCCUAACACGCCGGUGAGUUGAUUGUACCUGCAGAGGAAGCCCCGGCUAACUCUGUGCCAGCAGCCGCGGUAAUACAGAGGGGGCAAGCGUUAUUCGGAAUUAUUGGGCGUAAAGGGCGCGUAGGCGGCUUGGCAAGUGGAUGGUGAAAUCCCUCGGCUUAACCGAGGAACUGCCGUCCAAACUGCUUUGCUUGAGGCCGGGAGAGGCGAGUGGAAUUCCCAGUGUAGCGGUGAAAUGCGUAGAUAUUGGGAGGAAC
rnacentral:rRNA from 1 species